CCUAUCAGGAGGCUGGAGCAAAUUCACCAACCAUCUGUUCACUCGUGAUUAAAACAGAAAAAAGGAAUCAUUAUCAGAAAGAGAGCUUGUUGUUCGUUUCAACACNAUGAGCCGGCGUGGCAACAACUGGGCCUACACAGAGGUCGUUGACCUCCUGGAUAUAUGGGGAGAGCAGAAAAUCCAGAAGCUGCUUCAGAGCAGUUAUAGAAAUAUGGACACCUUCCAGGUGAUNGCGAGCGAGAUGGCAAAACGGGGGCAUGAGCGCUCUGCCCAGGAGUGCCGGACCAAGACUAAGACAAUGCGAAGGGAUUACAAAAAGGCCAAGGACGGCUCUUCUGCUGCGGGUGGACGUAUGACUUGCCCAUUUUAUGAGCAGCUNGACCGAAUACUGGCUGGCGACUCCAGCUUCCAGCUCCCGAGGGGGCUACAAAAUGUCACUCUGCCAGAGGAAUCCUCAGGGGAUACCAAUUCCCCGUGCCCCAUUGNGGAAGGAGCAGUGCCAGCGAUGAUUGAGGACUAUAGUGAGAGCCAGGAUCGGUUUUCCCCUUGCACACAAGCCUCCGUGGAAAUCGCUGACUCUGCCACGCCUAGUCCCACNUUCUACAGGACACAGGUGGUCUCUGUGAAACCUGCAAGUGUGUCUUGGCCAGGAGCACAAACUGAUCAUCCAACUGGCUCCCUUCCAUCUAUGUUCCCUAGUAACCCAAGCAGCUCAACAACCAAAGCCUCAAAUACGACGAUAGCACCUUCAUCGUCUCUGUUGCACAGCUACGUAACCCUNCCUUCGGAACAGCACCUGACAAGAGUCCGGAAGCGGCAAAGAAAAAAUAGGAACGACCUCGUCAUGGAAUUGUCGCGAAUAGCAGACAGACGGGUCCAGAUUGCAACUGAUAGGAUCCUGACCUCUUUAAAUAGGUACGCCACAGCAGAUCUGCAAGACCGUGAGAGAGAACGAGCAGACACCGCCCAAAUUAUUGCAAUCAUGCAUCGCCAGACGGAACUGCUGGAAUCCCUCGUGCAGAUGCAGUCCGCAGAACAAACGCCGGUAUCCCCAGCUGCCUCGUGGCCACGCUCUGCCAUAUCUCCUCCCUCCCGAGCAGCUUUGCCACGGCGGACACUGCUGCCCAGGGUGAAUCACAGGCGGAGACCACAGAAGUACAGCCCGUAACUGCGUUAUGGAUUGAUACAUAUGCAAAAAGGAAAGGGUUGGAUGCUCCUUGAUCAAUAUAUUCAUAUUGAGAGCCAACACCAAAGGCAUUUUUAUUAAUUUUGGGGAUCUUUAACAAUAAACUAGGACAAAAUAAUAAGAUAUUAUAAUAA
rnacentral:lncRNA from 1 species